UAUCGAAUUUAAUCAAAUUAUAGCUAACGUUUAUCGCUGUAAUAGAGUAAUGCAAUUUCUCAAUAAGACGACGAUGUCACAAAUUCACAACUCACAGUCCCCUCUCAACAUAUGUGUAAACGACACGUCGUCCCGAUGGCAACAACAAUUUCAACCAAAUUGAAACCAAAACUCGUCAAAGAUGAUUUUUGACUGUACGUCAACAUUACGAUUAAAUCUGAAUUAUAUAUGUUGGAAAUGUUCAAUGAGGAGAAAAUAUCUACAAAUUAUAUGAUGGCACCGGAAUUUCAAUCGUGUGGACUGCGAAGAUGCAGUCGAAAAAAUAUAGAUUCGUGGGGACCAUUACUAGCAAUGCGUCUAAAAAAAUUCAACAUCUGGGCGUGACUGUGUGAGGAUGCUCACGUUAAAGACUUGAAGACUGAAGAAACAUCAGAAAAAAUCAAAAAAAUUCAUUUUUUUCGGAUAUUUAGGUUUUGGUUGAAGGAUGUAAUUGCGAUUUGCGAGUCUUGUAGCGUGUGGAGGAAAAUAUAAUUUUGCACUGAUUCAUCAAAAACACAAACAAUAUGGAGGUAAAUUGCCAAAUACCUUGGAUACGAGGCCGGACCAUUUUUGUCUGAGUGGACUUCCAAUGUGUAGACGCUUGAGGACACUGCUGCCGUCGGAUGACUGUGGUAACUGUCUGCGGAUAACUGUUGUCUCCGAAACAUCUGGUGAGGCAGUAGAGCCAUUC